UGUGAAGGAGUACAAAAAUGAAGGUGCCUUGGCUUCAAAACAGCGUCCUCUGUUAGUAAUCUCUGUGUGUAUAUAUAAAAAUCGUUGGGCGGAGCUCGAGACAACGAGGUACACCGUUUGAAAGAGAGGAACCUUAACAGCGGUGGGUACGCACGCACGCUAUUGCAUCCAUUGCUAUUUUUCCUAAUGGCAACGGAGGAAAAAAGGAAAUCGGUGCCGCAGGCUGUAUCAGCAGUCGGCUCGUUACCGACACCUCAGGGCUACAAUAAUAAUAACAACAACAAUAACAAUAAAGACGGCGAGGUAAGCGAGAAUACGACCACCUCGAGCGCUACCGAAUCAAGUGGGACGGAAACGCACAGCAUCGGGAACGGUUGUGGAGUCAAUACAACAGUGGGAAAUAACGGGAAAUGGGUCCGUUUGAACAUCGGCGGUACUGUAUUCCUCACAACGCGGCAUACCCUACUCAAAGAACAGACUUCCUUUCUCUAUCGGCUCUGUCAACAACAGGACUUGCAUUCGGACACGGAUGAGACAGGGGCCUAUGUGAUAGACAGAGACCCCACCUACUUUGGCCCCAUCCUCAACUACCUGCGACACGGCAAACUAGUCUACAACAAGGAGUUGGCUGAAGAAGGUGUGUUGGAGGAGGCUGAGUUCUACAACAUCACUCCUCUGAUCAAACUGAUCAAGGAGCGGAUCCUGGAGCGGGACUGUAAAGUCACACAGCAGGUACCUCCUAAACAUGUGUACCGGGUGUUGCAGUGCCAGGAGGAGGAGCUGACUCAGAUGGUUUCCACCAUGUCGGACGGCUGGAAGUUUGAGCAGGUCAGCGUACGCGCCUGCAGAAAGCCCCGCACUGGACUGCUCUGGACUAUGGUGAACAUUGGUUCGUCGUACAGCUAUGGGACAGAGGACCAGGCAGAGUUUCUGUGUGUGGUGUCCAAGGAGCUACACACACCUGGCUCAGGCCUGGGCACCGAACAGAGCCACAAGACCAAGGCUUCAGAGGUGCAGGAGGAGGAGGGAAGAGAGAGAAAUACCACCCUGAAUGAGUGCAAAAGGGAAUGACAGUCUUGUGUCAAUGUUCCAAGGACGUGAAUGGGUGAGGAUCCAUGCUAGUGUUGUUGGCUGGUGGUGGCGAGUAGCGGUAUUAGACUGUGUGAUCAAAAGGGAUCCAGGGCUAUUUCACAGCAUGGCAUUCCCUUACCCCAAACUCAACACAGUAAUCAAAGGCCAAGGAUGGACUGUAACUGGAUGGACUUAUUUUUUAAAAGAUUUUUACAAUAUGUAGAGAAAAAAAGCAGGCCUUGAACUUUUGCUCCCCGUCAAAAAAAGUUGGCUUCUAUUUGUUUGGAAUACUAAUUGUGAUGCCAGAGAGCUUGAUAUUGCUCUGGGGCCUUUGCGUCCUGCCUGGGACAUGAUCUGAUCAGCGGCAUAACCCAGCUGUUCUGAUGAUGAGCUAGUCUCCCUAGGAAGAUGGGUUGCCUCUCACAUGAACAAUGCCCUAAUUGCCUGUUACGAACCUCUUUGGCCCUGCAGUCUAGGGAGGAUGGAAACGAGACCCGUAACAUAUCUCAUGCAAAUCAACCCAGUGAAAAACUUUUUCACAUCCAUGGAUCCCGGAUGUACUAGAGAGAUA